rnacentral:rRNA from 4 species
UUGGUUAAGUUAUUAAGGGCGCACGGCGAAUGCCUUGGCACUAGGAGCCGAAGAAGGACGGCACUAACACCGAUAUGCUUCGGGGAGCUGUAAGUGAGCUUUGAUCCGGAGAUUUCCGAAUGGGGGAACCCACUACGUUUAAUCGCGUAGUAUCUUGACGUGAAUACAUAGCGUCUUGAAGGCAGACCCAGGGAACUGAAACAUCUAAGUACCUGGAGGAAGAGAAAGAAAAAUCGAUUCCCUGAGUAGCGGCGAGCGAAACGGGAAGAGCCCAAACCAAGAGGCUUGCCUCUUGGGGUUGUAGGACACUCUAUACGGAGUUACAAAAGAGCGAGUUAGAUGAAGCGACUUGGAAAGGUCCGCCAGAGCAGGUAAAAGCCCUGUAGUCGAAAGUUCGUUCUCUCCUGAGUGGAUCCUGAGUACGGCGGAACACGUGAAAUUCCGUCGGAAUCCGGGAGGACCAUCUCCCAAGGCUAAAUACUACCUAGUGACCGAUAGUGAACCAGUACCGUGAGGGAAAGGUGAAAAGCACCCCGGAAGGGGAGUGAAAGAGAUCCUGAAACCGUGUGCCUACAAGUAGUUAGAGCCCGUUAAUGGGUGAUAGCGUGCCUUUUGUAGAAUGAACCGGCGAGUUACGAUUACGUGCGAGGUUAAGCUUUAGAAGGCGGAGCCGCAGCGAAAGCGAGUCUGAAUAGGGCGAAAUAGUACGUGGUCGUAGACCCGAAACCAGGUGAUCUACCCAUGUCCAGGGUGAAGGUGAGGUAACACUUACUGGAGGCCCGAACCCACGCACGUUGAAAAGUGCGGGGAUGAGGUGUGGGUAGCGGAGAAAUUCCAAUCGAACUUGGAGAUAGCUGGUUCUCUCCGAAAUAGCUUUAGGGCUAGCCUCGUGAUGAGAAUACUGGAGGUAGAGCACUGUUUGGACUAGGGGGCCAUCCCGGUUUACCGAAUUCAGACAAACUCCGAAUGCCAGAUAUUUAUACACGGGAGUCAGACUGCGAGUGAUAAGAUCCGUAGUCAAAAGGGAAACAGCCCAGACCACCAGCUAAGGUCCCAAAGUAAUCGUUAAGUGGAAAAGGAUGUGGCGUUGCACAGACAACCAGGAUGUUGGCUUAGAAGCAGCCAUCAUUUAAAGAGUGCGUAAUAGCUCACUGGUCGAGUGACGCUGCGCCGAAAAUGUAUCGGGGCUAAACGAUUCACCGAAGCUGUGGAUUGACAUCUACGAUGUCAGUGGUAGGAGAGCGUUCUAAGUGCGUUGAAGUCAGAUCGGAAGGACUGGUGGAGCGCUUAGAAGUGAGAAUGCCGGUAUGAGUAGCGAAAGACGGGUGAGAAUCCCGUCCACCGUAUGACUAAGGUUUCCUGAGGAAGGCUCGUCCGCUCAGGGUUAGUCGGGACCUAAGCCGAGGCCGAUAGGCGUAGGCGAUGGACAACAGGUUGAUAUUCCUGUACCACCUCCUCACCGUUUGAGAAAUGGGGGGACGCAGUAGGAUAGGGUAAGCGCGCCGUUGGUUGUGCGCGUCCAAGCAGUAAGGCGUGUGUGUAGGCAAAUCCGCACACUGUAACGUUGAGCUGUGAUGGCGAGUCCGUAUGGACGAAGUUCCUGAUUUCACACUGCCAAGAAAAGCCUCUAUCGAGGUGAGAGGUGCCCGUACCGCAAACCGACACAGGUAGUCGAGGAGAGAAUCCUAAGGUGUGCGAGAGAACUCUCGUUAAGGAACUCGGCAAAAUGACCCCGUAACUUCGGGAGAAGGGGUGCUCUUGAGCGUGCAAGCGCAUGAGAGCCGCAGUGAAUAGGCCCAGGCGACUGUUUAGCAAAAACACAGGUCUCUGCAAAACCGUAAGGUGACGUAUAGGGGCUGACGCCUGCCCGGUGCUGGAAGGUUAAGAGGAGUGGUUAGCGCAAGCGAAGCUGCGAAUUGAAGCCCCAGUAAACGGCGGCCGUAACUAUAACGGUCCUAAGGUAGCGAAAUUCCUUGUCGGGUAAGUUCCGACCCGCACGAAAGGCGUAACGAUCUGGGCACUGUCUCAACGAGAGACUCGGUGAAAUUAUAGUACCUGUGAAGAUGCAGGUUACCCGCGACAGGACGGAAAGACCCCGUGGAGCUUUACUGUAGCCUGAUAUUGAAUUUUGGUACAACUUGUACAGGAUAGGUAGGAGCCAGAGAUCUCGGAGCGCCAGCUUCGAAGGAGGCGUCGGUGGGAUACUACCCUGGUUGUAUUGAAAUUCUAACCCAUGCCCCUUAGCGGGGCAGGAGACAGUGUCAGGCGGACAGUUUGACUGGGGCGGUCGCCUCCUAAAAGGUAACGGAGGCGCCCAAAGGUUCCCUCAGAAUGGUUGGAAAUCAUUCGUAGAGUGUAAAGGCACAAGGGAGCUUGACUGCGAGACCUACAAGUCGAGCAGGGUCGAAAGACGGGCUUAGUGAUCCGGUGGUUCCGCAUGGAAGGGCCAUCGCUCAACGGAUAAAAGCUACCCCGGGGAUAACAGGCUUAUCUCCCCCAAGAGUCCACAUCGACGGGGAGGUUUGGCACCUCGAUGUCGGCUCAUCGCAUCCUGGGGCUGUAGUCGGUCCCAAGGGUUGGGCUGUUCGCCCAUUAAAGCGGUACGCGAGCUGGGUUCAGAACGUCGUGAGACAGUUCGGUCCCUAUCCGUCGUGGGCGUAGGAAAUUUGAGAGGAGCUGUCCUUAGUACGAGAGGACCGGGAUGGACACACCGCUGGUGUACCAGUUGUCUUGCCAAAGGCAUCGCUGGGUAGCUAUGUGUGGACGGGAUAAGUGCUGAAAGCAUCUAAGCAUGAAGCCCCCCUCAAGAUGAGAUUUCCCAUUACGCAAGUAAGUAAGAUCCCUCAAAGACGAUGAGGUAGAUAGGUUCGAGGUGGAAGUGUGGUGACACAUGGAGCUGACGAAUACUAAUCGAUCGAGGACUUAACCAAAA